rnacentral:rRNA from 1 species
UACGUAGGGGGCAAGCGUUGUCCGGAAUCAUUGGGCGUAAAGAGCGUGUAGGCGGCCUGGUAAGUCCGCUGUGAAAGUCCAGGGCUCAAUCCUGGAAUGCCGGUGGAAACUGUCAGGCUCGAGUCCGGAAGAGGCGAGUGGAAUUCCUGGUGUAGCGGUGAGAUGCGCAGAUAUCAGGAGGAACACCAAUGGCGAAGGCAGCUCGCUGGGACGGUACUGACGCUGAGACGCGAAAGCGUGGGGAGCAAACAGG